GUGCUCACUUCUGCAGCACCUAUAUUGGAAUGAUACAGAGAAGAUUAGCAUGGCCCCUGCACAAGGAUGACAUACAAAUUCAUGAAACGUUACAUAUUUUU
rnacentral:snRNA from 1 species